UACGAAGGGGGCUAGCGUUGUUCGGAAUUACUGGGCGUAAAGGGCGCGUAGGUGGCCUUCUAAGUUGAACGUGAAAUCCCUGGGCUCAACCCAGGAACUGCGUCCAAGACUGGGAGGCUUGAAUCCGGGAGAGGGAUGCGGAAUUCCAGGUGUAGCGGUGAAAUGCGUAGAUAUCAGGAGGAACACCAAUAGCGAAGGCAGCUCGCUGGGACGGUACUGACGCUAAGGCGCGAAAGCGUGGGGAGCGAACAGG
rnacentral:rRNA from 1 species